rnacentral:tRNA from 1 species
UCAGUCGUGGCCGAGUGGUUAAGGCGAUGGACUUGAAAUCCAUUGGAGUUUCUCCACGCCGGUUCGAAUCCUGCCGGCUGCG